UUUUAAGGCAGUCUUGUUCUCACCCAGGCUGCAGUGCAGUGGCUCGAUCACAGCUCACUGUAACCUUGACCUCCUGGGCUCAAGCAAUCCUCCCAUCUCAGCCUCCAGAGUAGGUGGGAGUACCGGCAUGUGCCGCUAUAUAUGGCUAUUUAAAAAUUUUUUUCAGCUGGGCGCGGUGGCUCAUUGAGAUAACACUGUUACAGCAUCUAACAGCAAGAGGAUGGCAUAACCAGGAGAAAGAUGCUGGAAGGGGCCGUAAAUGACCACAAUUCAAGGUCGGGCCACAACUUGCCAGGCUCGGGAGAACUCACUGAGGCUGAGGACAGCUUGGGAAGCUCUCGGUCCAGGUGCUGACUGGCAGCUUUCCCCUCGGACUUCACAUGUGCAUGGGACUCGAGCUUUCCUGGAAAGGCGCCCACCUUGCCUUCCCCUCCCUGAUGAGGCUUCACUUCUGGGUGAUGCUGCAUCCUAUUUUGAGGUUUUCCUAUAGAAUUGUUCAAGUGAGAUUCCUCCUGUGAGAUUCUCAGAAAAUGUCUUGGAGGAAAGAAUGUUUCUGAAAGGAGCCUGAGAAAUCUCUUCCCCUUCUAGAGACGCUUGCUCUGCCGGGAGCUAGAAAGGAACGGAUCUCCAUGCUCUGGACCUCAUUAGCGAACCUUACCUUGGAGGCAGCUGAGAGCCCUCCCGAGGGGUCCUGAUCCUGGGCACCAGCUCGCUCUGUGAUCUACCUAAGCCCUUCAAUCCCCCGACUCUGCAAUGUGAAAUCCAAAUGCUCCCGGUGUCCUUGUAGCUCUGUCACCCUGGAUUCUUGUGGCAAAGAGAGAUGGAUCUCAGUGGGAGGCUGGUUUUGGAUGGAGGGCCACAGGGACUCAUGGUCUUGGUGGUGGUUACAGAUUUC
rnacentral:lncRNA from 10 species